UUCAUCAUCCUUUAACACCAUAUUCUUUCAGAGUAGCUUAAAUCACCAUUCCUACUCAAUUUCACAGUCAAAGAUUCCCUGGGGAUGUCUUUCUUUGUCAGAUGACACUAGCAUAGCACCAAACAAAUUAGUGCAUGCAAUCUCCUCUGAAAUCAUUCAAUCUUCUAUAAGAGUAAUCUGUCGUUCUAACAGUAAAACGAUUUUUACUGAAAUCAGCCUGAUUCAUCUUAAAUAUCAAAAAAAAUCUUACAUCUGGAGGAAUGUGCCAUAUUCUACCAAAAAGUAGAAUUCUACCAAAGAUUUAUUUAUCUCAGAAAACACAAGUAAAUACAUUUUCAAGUUUUGAUACCUCAGUCUGGUCAAGUCAUUCCUGAACUCCAGACAAGUGCAGAAACUGACAGGUGCAGAGUCUGCAAGCUACCCUGACACUGACAAACCAACCUUGGGUUCAUCACACGAGAGCAGGGUGGCAAGCAAGUGGCCAGUACAGGGUUUGAUGAGUUCUGAAGUUAAGGAGCACUGAGGUAUGCCUAUAUAUAAAUAUUUUUACCUGUCUUUUAUUGCUUCAAAAUCACUGCCUAGUCACACAGAGAAACACUGAAACACUUUACUGGAAGGAA